rnacentral:rRNA from 1 species
AUUCAUCUAACUUUGGGGUCGUCAUCCACCCGGGUAUACCAGAUGGAUUUCUUUCCCAACAAAAGGGCUUUACAACCCGAAGGCCUUCUUCACCCACGCGGUAUGGCUGGAUCAGGCUUGCGCCCAUUGUCCAAUAUUCCCCACUGCUGCCUCCCGUAG